GAUGAACGCUGGCGGCGUGCCUAAUACAUGCAAGUCGAGCGAACAGAUGAGGAGCUUGCUCCUCUGACGUUAGCGGCGGACGGGUGAGUAACACGUGGAUAACCUACCUAUAAGACUGGGAUAACUUCGGGAAACCGGAGCUAAUACCGGAUAAUAUAUUGAACCGCAUGGUUCAAUAGUGAAAGACGGUUUUGCUGUCACUUAUAGAUGGAUCCGCGCCGCAUUAGCUAGUUGGUAAGGUAACGGCUUACCAAGGCAACGAUGCGUAGCCGACCUGAGAGGGUGGUCGGCCACACUGGAACUGAGCCACGGUCCAGACUCCUACGGGAGGCAGCAGUAGGGAAUCUUCCGCAAUGGGCGAAAGCCUAACGGAGCAACGCCGCGUGAGUGAUGAAGGUCUUCGGAUCGUAAAACUCUGUUAUUAGGGAAGAACAAAUGUGUAAGUAACUAUGCACGUCUUGACGGUACCUAAUCAGAAAGCCACGGCUAACUACGUG
rnacentral:rRNA from 1 species